rnacentral:pre_miRNA from 1 species
AGUCUAACGGAAUCACUUCUGCACAGACUGGGCUCUCAAACUCUCAGUGUGCGGAAAUGCUUCUGCUGCGCU